UACAGAGGUCUCAAGCGUUGUUCGGAUUCAUUGGGCGUAAAGGGUGCGUAGGCGGCGCGGUAAGUCGGGUGUGAAAUCUCGGAGCUUAACUCCGAAACUGCAUUCGAUACUGCCGUGCUUGAGGACUGGAGAGGAGACUGGAAUUUACGGUGUAGCGGUGAAAUGCGUAGAUAUCGUAAGGAAGACCAGUGGCGAAGGCGGGUCUCUGGACAGAUUCUGACGCUGAGGCACGAAAGCUAGGGGAGCAAACGGG
rnacentral:rRNA from 1 species